UAGGGAAUCUUCCGCAAUGGGCGAAAGCCUGACGGAGCAACGCCGCGUGAGUGAUGAAGGUCUUCGGAUCGUAAAACUCUGUUAUUAGGGAAGAACAAAUGUGUAAGUAACUAUGCACGUCUUGACGGUACCUAAUCAGAAAGCCACGGCUAACUACGUGCCAGCAGCUGCGGUAAUACGUAGGUGGCAAGCGUUAUCCGGAAUUAUUGGGCGUAAAGCGCGCGUAGGCGGUUUUUUAAGUCUGAUGUGAAAGCCCACGGCUCAACCGUGGAGGGUCAUUGGAAACUGGAAAACUUGAGUGCAGAAGAGGAAAGUGGAAUUCCAUGUGUAGCGGUGAAAUGCGCAGAGAUAUGGAGGAACACCAGUGGCGAAGGCGACUUUCUGGUCUGUAACUGACGCUGAUGUGCGAAAGCGUGGGGAUCAAACAGG
rnacentral:rRNA from 1 species